rnacentral:lncRNA from 1 species
CUCAGCAAUACAUGAAGGACAAGUAUGCCUUCAUCUUCCCCACCUACAGCUCCACAUAUCAGCCUAUUAGGAGUAGGUUGUGAAAGAAAGGCAAUCCUAUGCCUUGGUGAGGAAUCAUACAGAUUGAGCGAUCUGAGAGUAUCAUUUGAGGAACUUUGAUUUCUUUUGAAAAACAUUGCAAAACCUCCUGAUUGAUAGAUGAUAAAAGGAUAAGUGAAUGGUGAUCUAUA